GACGAACGCUGGCGGCGUGCCUAAUACAUGCAAGUAGGACGCAGUUGCGAACGGGUGAAUAACGCGUAGGUAAAUACCUAUUAGAGGGGGAUAACUAUUGGAAACGAUAGCUAAUACCGCAUACUAGUAGAUGGACCUGCGUUUUAUUACAUAGUAGGUAGGGUAAAGGCCUACCUAGGCAACGAUAGAUAGCCGACCUGGAGAGGUGAACGGGCACAAUGGGAAUGGGACACGGGCCAGACUCCGACGGGAGGCAGCAAUAGGGAAUCUUCGGCAAAGGGGGGAAACCUGAACGGGCAACGGCGGGUGGGGGAAGAAAGUUUUCGGAUCGGAAAGCUCUGUUGUUAAGGAAGCGGUACUUAACCAGAAAGGGACGGCUAACUACGUGCCAGCAGCCGCGGUAAUAC
rnacentral:rRNA from 1 species